GGGGCUGUAGCUUAGUGGCAGAGCGUUUGCCUAGCAUGCAUGAGGCAUUGGGUUUGAUCCUCAGCACCA
rnacentral:tRNA from 1 species